AUGGGAGAGUUUGAUCCUGGCUCAGGACGAACGCUGGCGGCGUGCCUAAUACAUGCAAGUAGAACGCUGAAGAGAGGAGCUUGCUCUUCUUGGAUGAGUUGCGAACGGGUGAGUAACGCGUAGGUAACCUGCCUUGUAGCGGGGGAUAACUAUUGGAAACGAUAGCUAAUACCGCAUAACAAUGGAUGACACAUGUCAUUUAUUUGAAAGGGGCAAUUGCUCCACUACAAGAUGGACCUGCGUUGUAUUAGCUAGUAGGUGAGGUAAUGGCUCACCUAGGCGACGGUACAUAGCCGACCUGAGAGGGUGAUCGGCCACACUGGGACUGAGACACGGCCCAGACUCCUACGGGAGGCAGCAGUAGGGAAUCUUCGGCAAUGGGGGCAACCCUGACCGAGCAACGCCGCGUGAGUGAAGAAGGUUUUCGGAUCGUAAAGCUCUGUUGUAAGUCAAGAACGGGUGUGAGAGUGGAAAGUUCACACUGUGACGGUAGCUUACCAGAAAGGGACGGCUAACUACGUGCCAGCAGCCGCGGUAAUACGUAGGUCCCGAGCGUUGUCCGGAUUUAUUGGGCGUAAAGCGAGCGCAGGCGGUUUGAUAAGUCUGAAGUUAAAGGCUGUGGCUCAACCAUAGUUCGCUUUGGAAACUGUCAAACUUGAGUGCAGAAGGGGAGAGUGGAAUUCCAUGUGUAGCGGUGAAAUGCGUAGAUAUAUGGAGGAACACCGGUGGCGAAAGCGGCUCUCUGGUCUGUAACUGACGCUGAGGCUCGAAAGCGUGGGGAGCGAACAGGAUUAGAUACCCUGGUAGUCCACGCCGUAAACGAUGAGUGCUAGGUGUUGGAUCCUUUCCGGGAUUCAGUGCCGCAGCUAACGCAUUAAGCACUCCGCCUGGGGAGUACGACCGCAAGGUUGAAACUCAAAGGAAUUGACGGGGGCCCGCACAAGCGGUGGAGCAUGUGGUUUAAUUCGAAGCAACGCGAAGAACCUUACCAGGUCUUGACAUCCCGAUGCUAUUUCUAGAGAUAGAAAGUUACUUCGGUACAUCGGUGACAGGUGGUGCAUGGUUGUCGUCAGCUCGUGUCGUGAGAUGUUGGGUUAAGUCCCGCAACGAGCGCAACCCCUAUUGUUAGUUGCCAUCAUUCAGUUGGGCACUCUAGCGAGACUGCCGGUAAUAAACCGGAGGAAGGUGGGGAUGACGUCAAAUCAUCAUGCCCCUUAUGACCUGGGCUACACACGUGCUACAAUGGUUGGUACAACGAGUUGCGAGUCGGUGACGGCGAGCUAAUCUCUUAAAGCCAAUCUCAGUUCGGAUUGUAGGCUGCAACUCGCCUACAUGAAGUCGGAAUCGCUAGUAAUCGCGGAUCAGCACGCCGCGGUGAAUACGUUCCCGGGCCUUGUACACACCGCCCGUCACACCACGAGAGUUUGUAACACCCGAAGUCGGUGAGGUAACCUUUUGGAGCCAGCCGCCUAAGGUGGGACAGAUGAUUGGGGUGAAGUCGUAACAAGGUAGCCGUAUCGGAAGGUGCGGCUGGAUCA
rnacentral:rRNA from 1 species